ensembl:lncRNA
CUUACUAGUAUUUACUAUAGAAACUAAUGAUUAAUUAAUUAAUUGGCUCCAAAUAAAGAUGUAAAUAAAAAUGUAAUUAAAAAUGUAAAAUUUAAUAUUUUUUUGUUUUUAUUGUUAUUAUUAUUAAUAAUAAUCCUCAAAUAUACCAAGAUAAAUUUUCAUCCAGUAAUCAUAACUGACAAAAAGGUCAUGGAAAUGUAUUAAUAAAAGUGUGAGAGCCCUUGAAUUACCAGUUCAGUCUUGUUUAGUGCGGAUUUACCAGAUAAACGUUCUUUACACAAAUGGGCUAAGACAAAUACUGCCCUCUGGUGGCCUUAAAUGGCCUGUCCCUGCUCACAACCUGUCUCUGUUGGUCAGUGCUGGUAUAGAAUACUUCUAUAGUAAAUACCGGAGAAAAUAAAAACAGUUGGCAGACAUGAAGCUGUUUGUUACAAAUAUAACCAUAUUUCUCACUGUUUCUCAUAUGUUCUACCGUUUAUCUUGUCUUAGUGUCAUUCUCUAACUCUAGCUUGCACUAGCAGCCAUGCACCAAAGGAUCAUGUAAAUCAGUGUACGUUGAGAAACCCACAACCAUACACUGUCUUUACUCAUGCUGUAAUCAUGCCUUUGAGUGUCAUGAGUUUCAUGCAUUUGAAUACUUGAGUAUCAGACUUCUGCUCGGGAAAGUCAGCGCAUUACAUUCUCAUAUAUCUGUGGUACAGCUCAUCUAGUGCAUACUGUAUAGUAGUGCCUAUGUAACGAGCCGAAGUUGGAUAAUAAAUGAUAUCAAGUUUACAGAAACUGCCAUCCGUAACAUACUAAAAUAGUCGUGGCUGUGUCACUCAUCUCUGUCUGUCUCUCCUCUGCCAGUGAACUCAAGGCUGUGCUGUGAAAAGCGUAUACUUUUGCUGUUAAGUUAAAUCUUCUACCCAAGCUAAUGCAUUGCAGUAUUUAAGGCCGUGUUGGUCUGAUAAUAGGAUGUUGUAUGGUACUUGCACGAUUACGAAGGCACUUGGUGCAUCCCUGUACUUAAUAGACUGUAUGUGAUGUUACUGGAAGUAUGUUUUGGGAAUGUAUGCUACAAUGGGCGUGUAUUGUACGUAUGCCACAGUGGGUGUUUAUUGUAUGUAUGCUAAGAUAACAGAAAAUAUAGGCUUUCUCCUUCUCUGGACACAGUGUUCCACAGGGCAAAAGUGCCGUCUGUCUGUAGUAGUGGGUUGUGAAAACUGUCGUUUGGGUUUUUUUCCUCCUCUGAACACUUUUUGUCUAGUGAUGCUGUUCUCAAAUGAGUGUUUGAAUGGUUGGAUAUACCCCCCUGUGAUGUUAUCCUACACCCUCCCAC